rnacentral:rRNA from 2 species
ACAAAGAGCAGCAAGUUCGCGAGGACAAGCAAAUCUCAUAAACCGUGGCUCAGUUCAGAUCGUAGGCUGCAACUCGCCUACGUGAAGGAGGAAUCGCUAGUAAUCGCAGGUCAGCAUACUGCGGUGAAUACGUUCCCGGGCCUUGUACACACCGCCCGUCACACCAUGGAAGUUGGCCACGCCCGAAGCCGUUACUCCAACCCUUGUGGAGGAGGACGUCGAAGGUGGGGCUGAUGACUGGGGUGAAGUCGUAACAAGGUAGCCGUACCGGAAGGUGCGGCUGGAUCACCUCCUAA